CAAGUUUAAGUUUAUGGUAAACUUUAUUAUUUACAUUAAUAAAUUUCUGUUCAAUUCAGAUAUCUUGA
rnacentral:tRNA from 1 species